GUCAUCUGUGGAUGUGGUCAAACCCUCAGAGGCAGGCUGAGAUCUAAUCCCUAUCAUACGAUCCUGAAAAUUAUAAUUAUAGUUAUUUUAAGAUUGUACUAAAAAUCAAAAUAUCAAUGAAAAAAUAGUUGGAAAAACUUACAUAAAGCUCCUGACUCCUGACCGUCCACUCCUCUAACCAUCGCUGGUGGGUUCGCUG
rnacentral:lncRNA from 1 species